rnacentral:tRNA from 1 species
AGGGGUAUAACUCAGUGGUAGAGCGCUUGCCUAGCAUGUAUAGUACCUUGGGUUUGAUCCCCAACACCUCAA